rnacentral:lncRNA from 1 species
GGAUAAGCUAAUUUUCCAUUCUCUCCUCAAAAGUAGUAGAUUAAAUAUGUAAAACAUAGAGGCUGUGGAAUGAAAGUCAUACAAGAAUUUAAAAAUGUUAAACUCAAGGGACAGGGUCUGGAUCGCUUCUACCGCUUUUCUGUGGAUCUGCAGAUAACGUCUAUUGGCAGCCAGUAGCCAUGAAGCGAUGUUUAAUUGCCUGAUCGUCUAUCGCUUCUCCAUUAACAUUAUUCUGCUCACCUUGGCCACGGUUUUCAUGCUGCUACGGAUACUAUCUUGACUGAGGAUCGUCUGGAUGGACAUGGAUCUCUUUGCGCUCGAGUUAAUGUACCUCUUCUACAUCAAAUAUAACUCACAAAACGC